ensembl:lncRNA
ACUCUGGACAAAGAGAAUUCACCAGAAGAUAAAAUGUUCCCAAGUGUUUUGACUACACAUUUUCUACUUCAGACAUAAGAUUUGGGGAAGAGGCUUUACCUUGUGCAGAUAACCAUGGUAAAAGAAGGGCUAAAUCAGACUGGAGAAAAUGAGAGAAGAGGCUCUCCUCUUGCUCUUCCAUGAUCCCAUGGGCUUUACUUGCUAGUGAUGGAAAGGCAAAUCUUUAUCCUUUCCUUCUGUAUGGUUGACCUCUUGCAUUUAACCGUGCCUGCUUGGGAACUUGCUCAACCACUGAUGUGCUGGAAUACAUCAGUACAAUGUAAUUCCAGUGUACAGCCAUUGGCAAAGUGGUAUUGUCCCUAAAAGCAGGACUUGGGCUGCUUAGAGAAACAAACCUAUUUCUCAUCCAAACAGCUUGCUAAAGACCUGGACUACUUAAAGUACUUUAUUCCUUUCCAAGUGAUGUCAUGGCUUUGAAAUUACAUUGUAAAUGGAAUGAUAAGAGCAACAAGAAGUUUAUUAGUUUACCAUCAGAUAUUCCCUCUUCUUGUAUAGCUGCCACCAAGACUUUGUACCAGGGACCAGCACAAUCCUGAAGUCAAUUCAAAACGCCUGUUAAUAUAUAGGCAUAUAUCUGUCAUUCAGUGCAGCAUGAAGACCCCAAAACUUGAAAAUUAAUGUGGGACGAUGCUCUUGAUAAACUGCAGAUGUUGUCUGAUGGCUGCCUUUUCAUACAUAAAUGUUCUGAAACAGAUUCUGUCUUUUAGAGAGAAAUUAGGAAGAUAAGCUCAAGAAAGACCAUUAGGAUAUGUGCUAUGUAAGAACUACAUGAAAACUUACUUGAAGAUUUAGAGACUCUAACUAUCGUGCUCCUAGGAGGAGCCAGGUGGACUUUUUAGGUGCCUUAAUUGUUUGAAAUAACUCAAACUUGUGAAAGAACAGAUAGAAAUAGUACUCAUUUAUCAUUAAUGCCUUAAAUUAUAUUUAGGAUGGUCCCUUAAUCAGUCAUACAGACCACAGAUACUGACAGUAUUCCAGCGAACAGAGCCUGAACUUAAAAUGGAAAGAAAUAGAUUUAAAAAUGAUUUCAUCAAAGACAGAAAGUGCUGGUUUAAAUGUGUAAAACUAUUAAUUAAAUUCUGCUAGAUGAAGUCACUGUCAGCAACAGCAGAAUACAGAAUAUUAUACUAUUCACUUAGGGAUAAAUCACUUAAUCUAAUAAAAUACAGCCAUUCGCAAUCUUUGGUACACUACCUUAUAAAAUCUAUAGCAUAUUUUCAAACUGGGAUAAAUCAAAAGGUUCAGUCACAGAACAUUUAGGCAUAAAACUGACAAUCAACUUUAUGCAUCUAGUUUCAUUUAUAUCUACAUUCUUUUGAAGAAUGCUUUAUGAUAUGUGAAUAGCAUUUUAGCGUAUCUUUUAUCCAUGCCUUUCCCAGUUUUAUUAACACCUUUUAACCUUUUUUCAACAUUUCCAAUGUGGAGUUUAGCAAAUAUUAAAUAUGCAAUAGCGUGAAAAGCCCUGAAAAUAUAGGAUGAGAAUAGAGACAGCUGUAAAGAACCUUUACUCUGCAACCAUAUUAUAUAAUUAGCCAAAGCAAAGGAUAAAACCAGGACGAGCAAGGUUGUAUGGUGUUAGAUAGAGAAUUAGUAGAGAAAUAUUCAGGGCAGGGGCCAAAAUAGCAUCCAGGAGAUGCUGAUUGUUACGGAGAACUGAAGAAAUCAGAAAAUGAAAACGAACAGAGCCAAAUAAGAGUUCUGUUUAUUGAAAAAUCAGUAUUUGCAUGAGCAGAGGGAAGAAUGCAAAAAGAAAGAUGAGAGAGGGGCAUGAGUGCAUAGUUAUUCAGUGAGCACUGCUACAGCUGGGCUAUGUCACACAGGCCUGGGAGCCAAGGAUCCAUGAUACUCGAAAGUAGGCAGUGAGACAAGACCUAUCAGGUGACAGACAACUAGAAUAUUUCCUUCCUUUCAGAUAGAGCAGUACCAACUACCCUAAACCACCGAGGGACUGAAGAACUAGAAGAGAACUGCAGCAGCUUGUAAUUAACUUAAUGAAAGAACUUAGGGAAAGGCAGUCAUUCCUGUUCUCAGCUGAGUAACUUCAUUUAGAGCAUCGGGAAAGAGCGUAGCUAAAGCAGCUAGAGCUUGGCUGAGAAUCACGGGACUUAAGUUUUUCUAUCUGCAGCUGGAGAAUGGGAAAGAAGUGACUCACCUCAACCUUGUUUAAUCUCUCUUAUGAAAUGCUGACCUUCAAAAUUUCAGGAAAUUUCAAGUUACUGGAAAAACGGCAGUCUAUAUACAACAGAGUCAAUCUAGGAAGCAACAGAGCUUAUAUACUGUACAAUUCUAAGUGUCUGGGCUAUGGUCUCAAGUAUUGGUCCUUGAUUCUCCAUAGCGUACACGUGGCAUUUUGUGUCACGGCCAUGGCCUGCGCCCAGCAGUGCAUUGCCUGGGCACAAUUCACAGAAUGGCAACAAGGAAAGAUUUGUCUCUUUACCUGUUGAGGAUUAGGCCACCAUUUUGGGGGGUGAAUAACACUACUGCUGAUAAACUUUUCAGAUGGGUUUAGAUGUCUACAAAUAAAACAUUUCAUUG